UACAGGGGGUGCAAACGUUGCUCGGAAUCAUUGGGCGUAAAGCGCAUGUAGGCGGUUCGAUAAGUCCGCUGUUAAAGCCCCCGGCUCAACUGGGGGAGGUCAGUGGAGACUAUAGGACUUGAGGGCAACAGAGGCACGUGGAACUCCCGGUGUAGCGGUGGAAUGCGUAGAGAUCGGGAAGAACACCAGUGGCGAAGGCGACGUGCUGGGUUGCGACUGACGCUGAGAUGCGAAAGUGUGGGGAGCAAACGGG
rnacentral:rRNA from 1 species